ensembl:snRNA U4 U4 spliceosomal RNA
AGUUUCCUGAUGUGGCAGUAUCAUAGCCAAUGAGGUUUAGCCAAGGUGCGAUUAUUGCUAAUUGAAAUCUUUUCCCAAUACCCAGCCAUGACGACUUGAAAUAUAGUAGGCGUUGGCAAUUUUUGGCAGUCUCUACAGAGG